rnacentral:lncRNA from 1 species
GGGCGGUGGGGGCGGGAUCGGCUUCACCUGGAUCGAUUGGUGAUGGCUGUGCCCGGCACGCUGCUCAGUGCCGUGGUUGAUUAGCGAUGUCUGCCGCGGCCCCGGAGGGGCCGUCUAAGGCUGACCGUUUACCUACCGUCUGGGGUGUAUGCUGCGUCCAGCAAAGACUCAGAGGGGUGGCCAGGAGCUGCUUCUCUACUGGUGCACGUUCACCCGGGGAGCACUGGACGGGGAGAAGCGUGGCUGGAUGGGGCUCAUCACUCUGCUGUCUGGCACCCUCUGAGGCCGGAGGCGGCUGGAGUGUCUGCCCAGCACCAGCCGGGACUGUCCACCUCUCAGGUCCCUUCCCCUCCUCUGGCCCUGGGGCCAGCCUGCCGGAAUCCCUACCAUGCCUCCCUAGGACAGACCACAUGGCCCAGCCAUCCCUCAGGACGGGGCCCCUCCCCGACCAUCAGGCUUGGCCCCUUGCUGAGCCCUCAGGGACACUGCAGCCCCCACCCCCUUCCUGGGAGUCCAAAGCCUGGUGGCACAGCUGGGGUGCUCUGCGUCCUCUGCUGCUGCAAGUGGGACCAGCCAGGCAGGGGCAUCCAGGAGGGCUUCCUGGAAGAGGAAGCUCCGGGCCCUUCCCUCCCCGUCCUCACCUGGCCCACCUGGCUCCCCCCCCCCCCACUCCUGGCUGGGCCUCUCCUUGA